rnacentral:rRNA from 1 species
AGAGUUUGAUCAUGGCUCAGAACGAACGUUAGCGGCGCGCUUAACACAUGCAAGUCGUACGAGAAAGGGCUUCGGCCCCGGUACAGUGGCGCACGGGUGAGUAACACGUGGGUAACCUUCCCUCGAGCGGGGGAUAACAUUCCGAAAGGAGUGCUAAUACCGCAUAAGACCACACCUCCGCGAGGAGGAGAGGUAAAAGCUGGCCUCUACAUGUAAGCUAGCACUUGAGGAUGGGCCCGCGGCGCCUCAGCUAGUUGGUGGGGUAAUGGCCCACCAAGGCUAAGACGCGUAGCUGGUCUGAGAGGAUGAUCAGCCACACUGGAACUGAGACACGGUCCAGACUCCUACGGGAGGCAGCAGUGGGGAAUCUUGCGCAAUGGACGAAAGUCUGACGCAGCGACGCCGCGUGAGUGAUGAAGGCCUUCGGGUUGUAAAGCUCUGUGGGGAGAGACGAAUUAGUGCGGGCUAAUCACCGCAUGAUGACGGUAUCUCCUUAGCAAGCACCGGCUAACUCUGUGCCAGCAGCCGCGGUAAUAC